AGUGUUUCCCAUGUUGUGUGUCCAGUCUCUGCUCUGCUCACCCUCUCCGCAGGCCUCUGUCCAGCUCGGAUGAUGAUGGAAAGCAGAAGAAUGCAGGAAUGUGGAGGGAGAUCAUCCUGGUUGCUCACUGCAACGGUAUCAGUGACUCAGCUGACCCAUAAGGUAUUUGGAAAAGGAAGACUCGUCUGACACAUCGCAGAAGGACAGAGGUGGAGGGGAUGGGAACUUUUGCUCCUAUUAACCUGGUGUUUACAGUUUAAACAGGUGAAUGGGACUGUUAUACUUACCCACAGAGUAUUCGUUUUUAAAACCAGGUCUAUUUAAGUUUGCAGUUGCUUAGGUGAUGGAUGCUUGAGAAUGUGAGCUAUUCAAGAGAGGUCUGGUUAGUACAAGCUGAUAAGAGACGUAAUACUCCCACCUCUGCUCUUCACUUGGCCUUGUAUAUUCAGGGAAAAAGGAGGCGAUGCUCACUUGAAUUAUGAGAAAUUGUUGUCAUCAUGAGCUGAAUUUUUAUUUAUUUUUAUUUUUUUUGAGGAAGGGGGCAUAUCUUUCGGAAACAGAAAUGAUGCGAUAUAUGAUUUACUAAUUUUCUGUAAUCUGUCAGUGAAUGGCUCACAGUUCUUGAUCUCAAACGAAGCAGACACCCUCUGGACACAUCUCACUGCAAGAAUAUGAAGAUUUGCUAGCAAUUUUAAACCAGACAUAACCAUUCUGUAGAGAUAAGUGACUUUGUGACAAAAUGAAAAGGCAGCCUCUUAACAGGUCAGGUCUUAGUCACCCUGUUGAAAAGGUGCCUCAUACCUCAGUCUUGUUAGCAGAAUGAGCAAACAUUCCGAUCUUACCUGUCUGGAAUCACAAACUAUUUUUUGUUCUUUGACCGAACACUAAACUGUUCAUCUCUUAACAUCCCUAUUGUACCCUAAGGUCUACUUCAGAGUGUAAUGAAACAAAAUGAUAAUUCAAAUCACAAAGCCCGAGUGAUGGUGAUCUAAACAUGUAAAACAAAAUUAAAUUACCAUUUACAAUGAAAGAGUCAAUGUACAACUGUUUUCAAGACUGAUAAUAAUAAAUGUUUCUUGAGCACCAAAUGAGCCUAUUAGAAUGAUUUCUAAAGGAUCAUGUGAAACUGAAGACUGGAGUAACGUCAGG